UAAUAUUUUACCGGCAGUCUCAGUAUGGGGGAACACCGUUGAUUAAAAAUGUUCAACGUCAUCUCAAAAUAAAACGAACGCCAGACCAGACCACUGAGGCAGAUGCAAACACUGGCGAACAUAGGCUUUGAGGAUCAAAAACUUUAAAUCGUGGAAAAGACAGCGGUGCCGGGACUUGUGAUCUUCUGGUGCUCAAAUCUGGCUGCAUAUUGUCUUGCGCUCAAAAUAUUUGGCAGUGAAGAAAGCACCAAUAUAUAUAUACAAGGGAUUUCCUUAACACAACAACAUAUAGAAUCUAGUCUAGAUUUAACUGAUGUUCUAGAACUCGGGGUUCGAACUACGACGAAGAUGUCUCGCGAGUCUUCUCCGAACGUCUUGCUCACAGGUGCUCUGGAAGACUGGAGUGACUUGGAUAAGGAGCUGGUUCAGUUGGAGGACGAGCACAAAAAGUACUGUGAGACCCUAACACAGCUCAGCGCAGCCCAGAAGCAAUGUCUCUCCCAAAUAGCCCACCACAGAUACAGAAUCAAAUGUAUUGGCGAUGCUUUAAACAGAGCUACCAAGGGUCAUCCCGGGGAGGAGGAACUUAAGCAAGCCACUGAUCUGAAACUGAAGAUUGCCGACAGAAAGCUCCUGUUUAGAGAAAUGGAAGAGAACCUGCCUCACAAAAAUGGAUUGUACCUGAGUAUCAUCUUGGGAUCAGUGAAUGUUUCUUUGCUCACCAAGGAAGCCAGGUUCAUCUACAAGAAAGACUACGAGAAGUUUAAACUGACUGUCAGCUACAUCAUCCUUGCCCUAGCCUUCCUCACAGCAUUUGUAUUCAAGUCUCGAUGGUGCGAUGCCACCCUCAAUUUUCUCAUGGUCUGGUACUAUUGCACACUCACCAUCAGGGAGAGCAUUCUCAUUGUCAAUGGGUCGAGAAUCAAAGGCUGGUGGCUGACCCAUCACUUCAUCUCCACAGUUUGUGCAGCGAUAAGUCUGAUAUGGCCUGACGGGUUCACGUACCAAGAGUUCCGCUUCCAGCACAUCACGUUCAUCAUAUACAUCAGUAUGGUCUAUGUGCUUCAGUACUACUACCAGAGCGGCUGCCUGUACCGUCUGCGUUCUCUGGGCCAGAGUCAUGAGAUGGACAUCACUGUUGAGGGUUUCAUGUCCUGGAUGUGGAAGGGCCUCUCAUUCCUCCUUCCCUUCCUGUUUUUUGGCUAUUUUUUCCAGCUGUACAACGCAUACGUGCUGAUGCAGCUCGCUUUCCACCCACAGUGCAUGGAAUGGCAGGUGGCCGUUCUGUGCAUCAUCCACUUUGUGCUGUUCGUCGGCAAUGUGUCCACCACCAGCAUGGUGGUCGUCAACAAGGUGAAGGCCGAGGGCUUCCAGUUCCGCUACCUGCGCAAGAAGUACAACUUUGUGGUGAACAACUUCCUGAGCCAAGGUCAUGGCCACGCGGAGUAGAUGUCUGGUUCCUGGAUGUAGGGGGGAUAUUCUCAACUGAGGAGGAGGAGGCGGACAUUGUCAUCGUUGUUGUGGGGGGUUUGAUGUCAAGGUUCUGUAGGAGAGGUCCGAGGUGAUCACUGUGCCAUUUUGUUUCUCUGGACUCGAGUUUCUCUGAAAGGACUUGAGUGUUUCAGAGAGGACUUGAGUUUCUCGGGAAAGACUUGAGUUUCUUAGAAUGUUGAACGAGGGGAUAAUGUGGAUGUUGAGGAGGUACAUUAGUUUGACUGUGCUGGUUUACCUUUUGGGAAAGAGCUGGAGGAGGUCUUGUUUGAUUCUGAAAUGAGGUAUUUAGAAGACUGAGGUUUGUUUGAACCAAUUGACUCAGAUUCUGAGAUGAGGUAUUUAGAAGACUGAGGUUUGUUUGAACCAAUUGACUCAGAUUCUGAGAUGAAGUAUUAAGAAGACUGAGGUUUGUUUGAACCAACUGACUCAGAUUUUGAGAUGAAUUAUUGCGGAGAUUCAAUUUUCUUUGCACUAAUUGGCUCGGAAUUUCUGAUUUCUACCUCGGAUGAUAAGCAAAAAUUCUGUGACUCUGAAUUAUGUCAUCAGUUCCUUUGGGGGCAAAGUGGCAAAGUCCAAUUGUAGACAAAUGUUUUCUGAAACAUUUCUUAAAGAAAACCUGGUUCUCAAAUUCCAUUAAGUUCUUCGCAGCCCAUUAAAUGUGUUUGCUCCCAUCGCCUGAGGUGAAGAUGUGAAGAUACACCGGUGUGUGUUAAGGCAAGCUCCGCCUCUGGCUCAGUGAAAAAAAAGUAAAGAAACAGGAUUUGGAAAUUGGUUUAUCUUUCUCGGUGCUCCAGUAGGGAAGGCUUGACAUGUACUUCUAAUGAGACUGGAUCUUGGCCAUGUUGGGAUUUAAAUUGUGAGAAUGGUGCUCUAUUUAUUGUAUUUUUGUGGGCAAGAAGACGCGUUCAAUUUGUAUGGUCCUGAAAUCUGAGAAUACUAGAUUGUAGUUAUGUGUGAGGUGCAUUGGAUCUCGAAGUAUAAGAGAGUGAGUGUGUAGUAGAUGGUCAAGUGUUUUUCUAGAUGGUGGUAAGCCGGUUUUGCAAAAGUGAAGUUAUCUGGAAUUCCUAUGCCUAUGUCUAGGUGUCUGAACAGGAAGAACAGAAGUUUUGUUUUAGCGCAGCUUGUGGUGAGGUGGAUUUUUAAGGCCUAAGAUGUUAUGGUUGAAUUUGUAAGAGGUAGUGAUUGAAUUUGUUAGACGUUAUGGUUGAAUAUGUCAGACGUAAUGGUUGAAUUUGUAAGAUGUAAAGGUUGAAUUUGUACAAUGUAACAUUUGAAUUUGUCAGACGUAAAGGUUGAAUUUGUAAGACGUAAUGUAAGCAUUAAUGGUUGAAUUUGUAAGACGUAAUGUAAGCAUUAAUGGUUGAAUUUGUAAGAUGUAACUGUUGAAUUUAAGGGGGGGAACAAAAGCAAGGCCUUGUGAGGGAAUAGAAUGAGACCCUGAGUUACAAAGGGAUACCUGUCGGGUAUGACUUUCAGAGAGAUUUGCUCUUCUCUUUCUGUUCAAGAGAUUGUUGUACAUAGUCAUCAACAUAUAUAUAUUAACCAUGCCUGGCUGCAACCAUUGUUUGUUAUAAGUUGAGGCUUUGUGAGAUAUACAUGCGUGUGGUAGGCUGAAAGUAGUAAAAGUAGAUUUAGGUGGAUCCUGAGAAGAAGAGGGGAGCAGCUUAAAACAUGUACCGUCUGCGAUGAUCCCAACUUUGUAGACCAAUUAACAAAUAUAAUUCUACAG
rnacentral:misc_RNA from 1 species